CUGCUGGCUGUGUGGGUUCCUGGCGUGCUGAUUUGUGACUUAAGAUAAAAAUCACAUUGCCAGGGAUUACCACACAACCGCCAC
rnacentral:pre_miRNA from 1 species